rnacentral:rRNA from 1 species
CCUACGGGAGGCAGCAGUAAGGAAUCUUCCGCAAUGGGCGAAAGCCUGACGGAGCAACGCCGCGUGGGCGAUGAAGGCCUUCGGGUCGUAAAGCCCUUUUCUGUGGGACGAUAAUGACGGUACCGCAGGAAUAAGCCACGGCUAACUACGUGCCAGCAGCCGCGGUAAUACGUAGGUGGCUAGCGUUAUCCGGAUUCACUGGGCGUAAAGAGCGCGUAGGCGGUGUGCUAAGUUGGACGUGAAAGCCCCCGGCUUAACCGGGGGAGGUCGUCCAAUACUGGUGCACUUGAGGGUGGACGGGGAAAGCGGAAUUCCCGGGGUAGGGGUAAAAUGCGUAGAUAUCGGGAGGAACACCAGUGGCGAAGGCGGCUCUCUGGACUAAUACUGACGCUGAGGCGCGAAAGCUAGGGGAGCAAACG